UAACGAAUCUUCCGCAAUGCGCGAAAGCGUGACGGAGCAAUGCCGCGUGCAGGAUGAAGCUUCUCGGAGUGUAAACUGCUGUCAGGGUUUAGCAACACAAUGAGCAGACCCAAAGGAAGGGCCGGCUAACUUCGUGCCAGCAGCCGCGGUAACACGAAGGGCCCGAGCGUUGCGCGGAAUCAUUGGGCUUAAAGCGUACGUAGGCGGGCGCGCAGGCGUCUUGUGAAAGCCCUCGGCUCAACCGAGGAAUUGCUCGACGAACCGCGUGUCUUGAAGCAAGUAGGGGCUGUCGGAACGAUAGGUGGAGUGGUGAAAUGCGUUGAUAUCUAUCGGAACGCCGAAGGAGAAAUCAGGCAGCUGGGCUUGUCUUGACGCUGAGGUACGAAAGCGUGGGGAGCGAACGGGAUUAGAUACCCCCGUAGUCC
rnacentral:rRNA from 1 species